AGAGUUUGAUCCUGGCUCAGGACGAACGCUGGCGGCGUGCUUAACACAUGCAAGUCGAACGGUAAGGCCCUUCGGGGUACACGAGUGGCGAACGGGUGAGUAACACGUGGGUAAUCUGCCCUGCACAUCGGGAUAAGCCUGGGAAACUGGGUCUAAUACCGAAUAGGACCACAGGACACAUGUCCUGUGGUGGAAAGCUUUUGCGGUGUGGGAUGGGCCCGCGGCCUAUCAGCUUGUUGGUGGGGUGAUGGCCUACCAAGGCGACGACGGGUAGCCGGCCUGAGAGGGUGUCCGGCCACACUGGGACUGAGAUACGGCCCAGACUCCUACGGGAGGCAGCGGUGGGGAAUAUUGCACAAUGGGCGAAAGCCUGAUGCAGCGACGCCGCGUGGGGGAUGACGGCCUUCGGGUUGUAAACCUCUUUCACCAUCGACGAAGGUCCGGGUUUUCUCGGGCUGACGGUAGGUGGAGAAGAAGCACCGGCCAACUACGUGCCAGCAGCCGCGGUAAUACGUAGGGUGCGAGCGUUGUCCGGAAUUACUGGGCGUAAAGAGCUCGUAGGUGGUUUGUCGCGUUGUUCGUGAAAUCUCACGGCUUAACUGUGAGCAUGCGGGCGAUACGGGCAGACUUGAGUACUGCAGGGGAGACUGGAAUUCCUGGUGUAGCGGUGGAAUGCGCAGAUAUCAGGAGGAACACCGGUGGCGAAGGCGGGUCUCUGGGCAGUAACUGACGCUGAGGAGCGAAAGCGUGGGGAGCGAACAGGAUUAGAUACCCUGGUAGUCC
rnacentral:rRNA from 1 species